GAAUGACUGCCUGAGAAUGAACCAUUCUCCAAUGAGAGGGGCUUCGACAUUGAAAGGGCAAUUUGGCCUUAACUUGGAAAUGCUGGAGAUUGACUGCAUACAAUCUGUCCUGCUAGUGAGAGAAGCAAGGACUGCAUCUAAGUGCAACAUGAAGACUUUUGGUCCCAAGCUUUCCUCCAACUUCAGUGGGAGGCAGCCCAAAACCACCGUCGGUUCAAGAAUACAAGUGACCUGCAAUUCUUGGAAAGACUCCCCCAAUUCCCCAACAUGUGGUCAGCUCUUCCAGCAGGAUUAGGUUCAGUAGGA
rnacentral:lncRNA from 1 species